AGUGGUUAAGCAUUUGGCUGCUAACCAAAAUAUUGGUGGUUCAAAUCCACCAGCUGCUC
rnacentral:tRNA from 1 species